rnacentral:rRNA from 1 species
GAUGAACGCUGGCGGCGUGCUUAACACAUGCAAGUCGAACGGAAAGGCCCAAGCUUGCUUGGGUACUCGAGUGGCGAACGGGUGAGUAACACGUGGGUGAUCUGCCCUGCACUUCGGGAUAAGCCUGGGAAACUGGGUCUAAUACCGGAUAGGACGAUGGUUUGGAUGCCAUUGUGGAAAGUUUUUUCGGUGUGGGAUGAGCUCGCGGCCUAUCAGCUUGUUGGUGGGGUAAUGGCCUACCAAGGCGUCGACGGGUAGCCGGCCUGAGAGGGUGUACGGCCACAUUGGGACUGAGAUACGGCCCAGACUCCUACGGGAGGCAGCAGUGGGGAAUAUUGCACAAUGGGCGCAAGCCUGAUGCAGCGACGCCGCGUGGGGGAUGACGGCCUUCGGGUUGUAAACUCCUUUCGCUAGGGACGAAGCGUUUUUGUGGCGGUACCUGGAGAAGAAGCACCGGCUAACUACGUG